rnacentral:rRNA from 1 species
AUUGAACGCUGGCGGCAGGCUUAACACAUGCAAGUCGAGCGAGCGGCGGAUGGGUGAUUAAUGUCUGGGCAACUGCCUGAUGGCGGGGGAUAACUACUGGAAACGGUAGAUAAUACCGCAUACCAUCAGAUGUGCCCAGAUGGGAUUAGCUAGUAGGUGGGGUAAUGGCUCACCUAGGCGACGAUCCCUUGCUGGUCUGAGAGGAUGACCAGCCACACUGGAACGGAGACACGGUCGAGACUCGUACGAGAGGCAGCAGUGGGGAAUAUGGCAGAAUGGGCGCAAGCAUGAUGCAGCCAUGCCGCGUGUGUGAAGAAGGCCUUCGGGUUGUAAAGCACUUUCAGCGAGGAGGCGUUACUCGCAGAAGAAGCACCGGCUAACUCCGUGCCAGCCGCCGCGGUAAUUC